rnacentral:rRNA from 1 species
GACGUAGGGGCGAGCGUUGUCCGGAAUUACUGGGCGUAAAGAGCACGUAGGCGGGAACCUAAGUCAGGUGUGAAAGACCGUGGCUCAACCACGGGGUGGCAUUUGAAACUGGGUUUCUUGAGGGCAGGAGAGGAAAGCAGAAUUCCUGGUGUAGCGGUGAAAUGCGUAGAAAUCAGGAGGAAUACCAGUGGCGAAGGCGGCUUUCUGGACUGACCCUGACGCUGAGGUGCGAAAGCGUGGGUAGCAAACAGGAUUAGAUACCCGUGUAGUCCCUGAGCGGG